rnacentral:rRNA from 1 species
AGAGUUUGAUUCUGGCUCAGGACGAACGCUGGCGGCGUGCUUCAUACAUGCAAGUCGAACGAUAAGGUCUCUUCGGAGAUACAUAAGUGGCGGACGGGUGAGUAAUGUGUAGAGAAUCUACCCUAGAGAGGGGGACAACAGAGGGAAACUCCUGCUAAUACCCCAUAUGAGCGUACCUGGAAUGGUAUUCUUGAAAACUCCGGUGCUCUGGGAUGAGUCUGCAUCUGAUUAGCUAGUUGGGGGUGUAAUGGACCACCAAGGCGACGAUCAGUAGCUGGUUUGAGAGGAUGAUCAGCCACAAUGGGACUGAGACACGGCCCAUACUCCUACGGGAGGCAGCAGUAGGGAAUUUUGCGCAAUGGGCGAAAGCCUGACGCAAGCAACGCCGCGUGAUCGAGACGCUUUUCGGAGUGUAAAGAUCUGUCACAGGGGACGAACGAUGACGGUACCCUGAGAGGAAGCACCGGCUAACUCCGUGCCAGCCGCUGC